rnacentral:lncRNA from 1 species
GAUUUUCUCUUAGCCUUUGUGAUGGUGGAGAGUGAUGAGCUGAUGAUUUAUGCUCUUGCUGAAGAUGAAGUGGAUGGAGAAAAAUGAAGAGAAUGCAAACUCUAGUUAAAUUCUGUCUUUUCUUCUUUGAAAGGGCUGAUACUGAUAUUUCUUGUCUACCUCUUGAGUGAUUAAUAAUGCAGUGACUGAUUCUUCUUUACCCAGAGGGUUAUUGUCAUCCUUGGUAGAGUUUGACAUUUUACACUUUAAGUAAGCACACCCUUAGGCGAGGAGACACCAAGAGACAGAUUUCCUUAUUAAAAGAAGAUGUCACCAAAAGAGCAAGUCAACAAAUAUGCCACUGCCAAGAAACAACCAACAGGCUAAAGACAGAGCAUACACCAGUACCCAGAUGUUCAUAAGGAUGAGCAGCAAAGAGCAAGCCCAAGUACAAGUUGAAGUUAACUGCUUCACUUUAAAAAUCAAUACGAAGUAUCUGUC